GGCGAGUAUAUGACCGCCAACCACAUGCCCGCAUGCCUCUUCUGCAGGCAAUGGAACAGGCCUGCGGCGACAUUCAGGUGACAGCAAUCCAUGGAUGGUUUCGACAUGCAAGAGGAUAUUUUCCCCGGUGCCUAGCGGGAGAGGACAUUGCUUGCGAUGUUGAUGAGGUCCUGUGGCCAGACCCCAACAGACGGCGGGAUCCAUGAGCCCACUUAUGCACAAUUGUCAUGGUUUUUUGUGUUUACAGUAUAGUGUUUUUUCUAUUGCAGUAUUAUUGUGUUGUUGUUGUUUUUUUUUGCUUUAUCUGAAUUCAUGGUACUGCAAUGUACAAUAUUGAGUAGGUCUAUUUGCGUUUUUGGUUGUUUGGAAAUGUGUCUCCUGUAAAUGUGCCUUCUGAAUACACAAUGGAAAUCAAGGACUGCAGUGUUUUAUAUAAAGAAGACUAGUGUGUUCCCCCUGAUCUGUCAGUGUUUGCAUAUGAUGCAAGUAUGUGUCAUUUUGUCAACAGAGUUACAUUUUGACAGAGGAAUGUUAGGUUUUGACAGCAGAGUUUAGGUUUUGGGAGUGGAGUUUCAUUUUGGCACAGAUGUGUAUGGUAUAUUUCCCAGUGUUGUGUCGUGUUUACUUGUGUUUAGAGUUUUGGCACAAUGAGCGACGUUUUGCCAAAUGUGUUCAAGCAACGGGCAAAAACUGUAAUAUCUGUACACACUUUGAUUCCAAUCUAUUAAAAUGUUAAAAAGGUUCAAUGAAUAAGAAAAAUGAAAAAUGAAAAAGUCAGUAGUCUCAUCUUCUAUGGACCAUGAAAGCCAGAUAGGUUAUGAUAUACAAAAUUGUCACAUGGCCUUUUAGGAAGCAUGGAAACAGCCCUGGUAUGCUGGGCUCAUUAGCAGCAUUGUAGCAGUGCAGUCAACUACCAAAAUAGGGUUGCUGCUAAAUGCUAGUAGAGGUCACAAGUGCUCCAUUGUUCCAUGUUAAGCUCUGUAAUAAAAGAAUUUGAUAAAUAAUAAUAUUAAAAGUUGGUCUGCACCAAAUCCUUCCUCUGCCUGCAAUGAUUGUAGUCAAUGGUCAC
ensembl:lncRNA